GCGAAGCUCCUCAGCCUCAGGCGACCCGUCGAUCCCUCCCGGCCCCCCACAGCUACACGCCCACUCUGCCAGCAGGCGGUCUCACGGGGGAGGCCGCCUGUUCCCUCACGCUCCUUGCUUCCCGGGCGCUGACAGAGGCCCUGAAGGCAGACGCAGCAGAGCGAACUUCGACUUGGGGACUUUAGGAGCGCCAGUCACCUACCGCCCUGGGCGCCGCCAUCUUGCUAGGAUUACGUACCCGGAAAGGGCCGGCCUGUAAAGAGGCCCCACCCACAAGGGGAACCUCCGCCGAGUGGAUGUCCAGCUCCUGGGCCAGCUGUGCAGCCUGGGACUGGAGAUGGGGGUGCUGCGGGAUGAACUGUUGGACUUCCUGGAAGAGGAGGACGAAUACGAGGAGAGCAUGGUGGAAGAGAAGGAUGAAGACCUGGAGGAGGAGGAAGGACCCUUGGGGGCUUGUUGCCCAGGGCCCGGCUACCGGCUCCCUGACUUUGAGAUGACCAUCUAGUCCCGGCCUGACGGACACAUGAAUGAGGUGCAAAUUAAUGCAAUGAGGAGCGAUUCUCCCAUCAAAUCAACUUGCAGAUGUUGAUUUAGAAUCAGCUCGUGUUCCUACAGCAAGUGCUUUCUCUGACGUUGUCUGCGGUGCGAUCAAGGGGUUGGCCUGUGAGCUGGGCCUGUUUGCAGAGGAUGGGGGAGGUUUGCAGAGAAACUGGAAGUGCAUUUGCAGAUGAGCUGUGGGUCUUUGCCAAUUUGGUGGGGUUGCUUGCAGAGGAGCUUUUAGAUCAAGGCCAUCCAGUGGGGUAGACACUGGCCCUGCAUAGCUGCGGAGCCCUUGAAAUGUGGCUAAUAUCCGAAUUGAGUGUUGCACACUCUGAGCUUUCAAGGCUUCAGGGGAUGGACAUAGAAAACAUUUCAAUCAUCUUGAAAAGUAAUUGCCUGUUGAGAAGUGACUGCAAAUACAAAUAAAUAAAAAUAUGGUAAAAUUAAUUUUAUCUGUUUAACAUUUGUGGUGGUAAAAUAACAUAAAAUGAGCCAUUUGACCAUUUUUAAGUGUGUCCUUGGGUCGUGUAAAGGAUAUUCACACCGUGGAGCAUCCAUAAGCAUCAUCCAGCUCCAAAACUCUUGUCACUCCACCCUCCCCUCCCCCCAGCCCUUGGCAAGCAGCACUGUACUCUCUGUUUCUGUGGAUUUCAUCACUUUAGGAUCUUCAAAUAAGUGGGAUCAUAGAGUAUU